UUCUGUGAUGACAAAAAUUAACGUUUCUCAACAUUCGCAGUGUUGUACCGAAAUGGAGAUCUUAAAUAUGCGCAUUUAAGACUCUAUGAUGGACUUCCUUAGAUGUCUGAGA
rnacentral:snoRNA from 1 species